rnacentral:lncRNA from 1 species
GUUACACUCGCUGUUGGCUGAGGACUAAAACUGAAACUUUCCCUAUUAAAAAGGAGAACAAAUCCAGCCGUUCCAUUUGCAAAAUACCAAAGAUAAAGGUGAAGAAGAGCCUGAAGAGAGAGAGAUGUGCUACGAGGAAAAUUGUUCAACGUGUGGCAAAACCAGCUGGGGCGGCUGCGGAAGGCACGUUCCGGCGGUGUAUAAACGAAUUCCGCAAGGCCAACACUGCCAGUGCAAGGGAUGGCCCGGUGUCAAAUCUGGCGAUAAUUCUGAGUCCUCCGGCGUCGGCACCGACAAGUCUAAGGCUUCAUCGUACUGUACUAUUCUGUGAAGAAUUUGCGUUCAUUUAAUGCAACUUUCUGUUAUGCUGGUUUUGUUGCCUAAAAGGGAUUCAUUUUGUCUUGUAAUUUUACAAUAACAUAAAUGAAUCCUAGCUAAUUAUAAAACUUGAAUUUCUGUUUAAUUUUAUUUGAAUUCGUAAUUUUAGAAUAGAACAAAGGAUUUCAUUGCCA